CUCUCUUCCUUUUCCUAUGCUACGUGUGUUUCACUUUCUCUGCUUUUUUGAACAAACCCAAAACUUUUCUCAUUUCUCUCUUUCUUGAAAACACAAAUAUAUUGUUUCCUCUACUCAACAAGUCUUUUCAUUUCACUACCUCAAAUCUCAAACAACUCUCUUUCCUAUCUAAGUCUCCCAUCUUUCUAAUUUCUCUAACCCAUCUUCAUCUUCCACCUUCCUCUGUCCUCAAUUUCUGCGGAAGACGUUUUAGAUCGGUUAAAUCAUUGAUUUUUUUAGAUCUGUGACAACUAUCAGUGAUGUUUUUUUAGAUCUAUGAUAUCUAACAAGAUCGAUUUGGUUUUUAACUUUCCUAUUUCUUUGUUUUUCAGGUUCUGUGUUCAUCUUUCUAAUUUGUGUUUGUGUUAACAGGAUUUGAUAGAAGGAAGAUCUAAACUACAAUGAGAUGGAACAAAAAAAUUCAUAUUUGAAAUUAAAGGAAGGACAAAUAUUUUAUUUUCAUAUUGAAAACUCUUCCUACUUCACAUGAGAGAAUAGAGCAUAUUUUUUCUACUGGCCAAUAAAAUGGGUUGAUGGGUGGAAUGAGAUGCAUAAUGAAAAUGUUUUGAGCUUGAUGUUCUAACACUAUCCAACUUGUAUUUUGGCAUAUAAUUUCCUCAUUGAUAUAUUCCUUUAAUAUAUUUCAAAAUAUUAAAUUUA